UAUCUUUUUACAAUUUUUAUAAUAACUUCAUAUUUAGACUAUAGAACAAGAAAAAUAAAUGAGUUGUAAUAAACUCAAAACGACAGUAAUGGUGAGCGCCAUAAUCCCUUUAGGAAAAACGUCAUACAAUUACCAUAUAUAGGUCAGCAGAUCUCGGAACAUUUACGGUGUCACUAGAGAUAUUAUCAUGAUAUAUUAUCAAGAAAUAAAAAAGAAAAGAUGGCUAGUAAAAAAAAGUUAAAGUUAUAUAUAAAUUUAUCUCACAAUUUACUGCUAAUAUAAUGUCUAAAACCCUUAAAUUGAAGUGUUUUCUUUAUUUUGUCAGAUGGACCUGUUCCUGUAUUAUAUAUACAAAAAGUAUUUUUGUUUAUAUACAAAAAAUAGUUAAGUUUUAACUAAUAAAAGUAAUUUUGCUUCAACUACGAAGUGUUUAUUAAUGUACAGCAAGUUAAUAACAUUUGCGUACAGUAGUCACACACUUCUUACAAAAACUUAAUAAGUUGGAUGUUGAGAAAUUGCAAAAUACAAUCAAAUUGAGCAGAUAUAUCCGUCUUUUUUAUAAAUGCUGGUGGCAAAGCGAAACCAUUGUUUAAUAAAUCAAGUUUAUCAUGUUGUAACAUAUAUGAGGAUAAAUUUGAAUAACAUUUUGGUGCUUAAAAGGAAGACCUACUGAUUUUGUGAGGGAACAUAAUUUCUUUUCGUGUGUUUUAAUUAUUGAAAUUUCUUUCUUU